CCCUUUAACUCCAAAGAGGAAGAUAAUGAAUGUCUCCUUUGCUCAUUCAAAACACUCUCUCUCCACCCUACACCCUCCAAGCUUUACCAAAACCUCCCCUCUCCAAUCCAUCCCAACAAAAAUUAAAUGAAUCCAUAAGUUUAGGACCCGAAAUAGAACAAAAACAUGACCACCAUUUCUUCCUUCCUUGCCACUACUAACACCCCCCUCUCCUCGCACCCUUCAACUUCUACUCGUGCUUCCAGUCUCUCACUUUCCCUCAUUGCAUCCAUCCCUUUUCUCUAAAUCUCCUUCAUGUCCUUAUCCUUUAUGUAAGUUUCCAAGAAAACCCAAAAGAAUAGUUUCUUUAAAAUCAUCAGAAGCAGAGAAGAUAUCAUCAACAGGAGAUGAGUGGCUACAAACACUCCCUGACAAGAAAAAGCCUUUGUACUCUCAUAGUUUGCCUUGCAUUGAAGCUUGGUUGAAGGGUUUAGGGUUUUACCAAAGCAAAGAGAGCCGUGCUGUUUGGUUUGUUGAGAAACCUGAUUGGCAUGCUCAGUUAUCACUUGAUGUCACUGAUCUUUAUAUAAGGAGACAUGAUAAAGGCUGGAAGGAGAGCAACAAGAAGCAACAACAGCACUAAAAGAAUAACGACCUUCUUUGAACUAUGUACAAUUGAGGUUUCUCUACCAUCAAUCUUCUAAAAUAUGAAGAUGAUGGCACCUAUUCAAGAGUAAGACCAAUGCAAUGAUGACAUUGUGCUCAUUGAAUCUUGGUUGGGAUUCAAUAAAAGGAAAGGAAUGUUGGAGAAAGCUGGAUAACUUCAAGUGGGAAACAAGGUUUAAUUGGUUCUGCAGCUUGCCUGAGAGUUCACUCUUCCCUAUUCUCCCUUACUAUUCAAAUUUUGAAUUCUCAACCUGCUAGGACUAAUCGAUCAAUUUAUCAAAUUGCACAAAUUAAGAUAUCAUUGUUUAUCCAGGGUAGUUAGAUUUUACCAUUGGAGAUGGAUUCUGAAAUGCUAAUUUGACGUGAAAGGAAGGAAAUAAGUCUUAUGCUCAGUUACGCUAUUCAUCCUUUUAGAUUUAUUGCUUGGCUAAACAGACUGUAUCAGGUACUUAAAGAAUGGACCAGGGAAUCUUGAAAAGGAUGUGGAGAAGAGAUUCAGUUACGCAUUGAGCAGAGAAGAUAUAGAAAACGCUACUCUUGGAGGACCAUAAAGAAAAUGAAAGUGAUCAUUUCAUCUUUUGAAUGGUGUCACUGUUUAUUUAUGGGAAUAUCUCAUAGGACUUGCAUGGUGUUCAUUCUAUAUCCUCAUUCUGAGCAUACGCUCUUCUUUUUUAAAAAAUAAAAAAUAAAAUUCUUUUGAUGUA